UGGGGAAUAUUGGACAAUGGGCGCAAGCCUGAUCCAGCAAUGUCGCGUGUGUGAAGAAGGCCCUCGGGUUGUAAAGCACUUUCAGCGGGGAAGAAAAGUUCAAGGUUAAUAACCUUGGGCCAUGACAUUACCCGCAGAAGAAGCACUGGCUAACUCUGUGCCAGCAGCCGCGGUAAUACAGAGAGUGCGAGCGUUAAUCGGAAUUACUGGGCGUAAAGCGCGCGUAGGUGGAUAUUUAAGUCGGAUGUGAAAGCCCUGAGCUCAACUUGGGAACUGCAUCCGAUACUGGGUAUCUAGAGUAUGGUAGAGGGAAGUGGAAUUUCCGGUGUAGCGGUGAAAUGCGUAGAUAUCGGAAGGAACACCAGUGGCGAAGGCGGCUUCCUGGACCAAUACUGACACUGAGGCGCGAAAGCGUGGGGAGCAAACAGG
rnacentral:rRNA from 1 species